rnacentral:rRNA from 1 species
CAAUAGCGUAUAUUUAAGUUGUUGCAGUUAAAAAGCUCGUAGUUGGAUUUCUGGCGGGAGCGAUCGGUCUGGCGCUUAGCGCGAGUACUUGCAUCGUCUCCGGCCAUCCUUGGGGAGAGUCUGUCUGGCAUUAGGUUGUCGGGCAGAGGAUCCUCAUCGUUUACUGUGAAAAAAUUAGAGUGUUCAAAGCAGGCUUAUGCCGUUGAAUAUAUUAGCAUGGAAUAAUAAGAUAGGACUUUGGUACUAUUUUGUUGGUUUGCGCACCAAAGUAAUGAUUAAUAGGGACAGUUGGGGGUAUUCGUAUUCCGUUGUCAGAGGUGAAAUUCUUGGAUUUACGGAAGACGAACUACUGCGAAAGCAUUUACCAAGGAUGUUUUCAUUAA